ensembl:lncRNA
AAAAAAAAAAAAAAAAAUCAUUCAUUUGUCAGCUCCUUCAAGGUCCUUGGUGGCUUCCUCUAAGUCUCAUCUUUUCCAAGUUAGUCAAAGACUAUGAGAACACAGACACUGCCAUUUGGCCUACACAAACCGACAAAGCUGUGCUAACUCCUGAUUGUCCCAAGAGGUUGCCAAAGGCUUCUUUGUGCUGACAUCAUGUCUACCAUCUUGCUUGAACCUUCCCUCGGGGUGGACUGGAAAGGUGUGUCAACAGGAGUGGUGAGCUAGCAGAAAAUAUUUAGGCCCCUUGAUCCACCAGAGACCACGCUGGCUGACAGACUUCCAGGUAGGCCGGACUUCCCCAACUCUCUCAGUGCCUGUCCACACUACCCCCAUUGUCCCUUCCUGGACUCAUCAUCAAAGCCCAGCCCCCAACUCCACCGGAAGUUCCCCUGCUCAGCCCGAGGCCACCCAGACCAUCACCCAUCAGAAAUCCAGCCUCAACUCAAGAAGAGACCCUGCGCUCAACCACAGGUCACACUGGCCUGAAGACCAGGAAGAAACCAGAAACCAAGAGAGGAACCAACCAUCCAACAAGGACAAACUCAGAAGUCGGCACUUAGACCUGUAAUCACCCUGAACCCAGAUGCCUAGGCUCCAGCAUCAGAAUGCAAUUGACAACAGCCAGGACAAUAUGCCAACACCAGAGCCCGGGUAUGCUGCUCCAGCAAGGCCUGAAUAUUCCCACGCAUCUGAUGCACUAGAAAGUGACCUUAAAACCAACUUUAUGAAGAUGCUAAAGAGGAGGGGAUUUGUUCGUUUCCUUAAAGAGUUAAAAGGGGGUGAACGGUACAUUCACAUCAAUGUGGAGCCAAGACGAAGGUCAAGGAACUGGGAAGCUCCAGGCUUCAGGCAGCACUCAGUCAAGCUUCAGGAUCUGUGAUGUUUCUCCAGCCCUCGGCUCCGCACUGUCUACAUCAGCUCCUUUCUCCCCAGUGCUGACAACAUUCUUACCUUCCUACCCUUUCAGAUUCAGGAAGAAAAGUCUCUUUCUGACAGGGACCGUGCUUGGAACAUCCAGGGAGCGGAGUGUCCAGUCCUGAUCAGGGAUCGGAGUCCCCCACCCUAAGUACACAGGUAGGGUGUGGAGGGGCUCACUUAGAGAAAUUCUGAGAUGGAACCAAGGAAAAGGGACUCAGAUGCUGGUCCCCUCUGUCGUCCUUGGGCCCCACAGGGUGCCACAUGGCAAGACCCUGCCAUGUUCACGGUUUUUACUGUAAUGUGUCCUACUGGGAAACUGGCAAGAGAGAGGUGUGAGAGAUUGGUGACCAAGGACGUGUGUAACUGAAGACACACAGGGAAAACGACUUCCACAAGAUGGCAAUGUUUUUGCACCAAUGCAGGGAGGAAAACUUUGGAAGGAUGCUGUCUUAGUCACCUUUCUGUGGGUGUAAUAAAACGCAAAGGUGAAGGCAAUUUUCAGGAGAGUAGAUUAGCUGUGGUUCACAGUUCAACGGUGGCCCGUCAAAGUUGGGAAGACUAGGAAGCGGGAGCUUGGAGUAGCUGG